ACGUAGGGGACAAGCGUUAUCCGGAUUUACUGGGUGUAAAGGGAGCGUAGACGGCUGUGCAAGUCUGAAGUGAAAGGCAUGGGCUCAACCUGUGGACUGCUUUGGAAACUGUGCAGCUAGAGUGUCGGAGAGGUAAGUGGAAUUCCUAGUGUAGCGGUGAAAUGCGUAGAUAUUAGGAGGAACACCAGUGGCGAAGGCGGCUUACUGGACGAUGACUGACGUUGAGGCUCGAAAGCGUGGGGAGCAAACAG
rnacentral:rRNA from 1 species